GACGAACGCUGGCGGCGUGCUUAACACAUGCAAGUCGAGCGGAGCGGCGAACGGGUGAGUAACGCGUGAGUAACUGCCCCCCUCUCUGGGAUAACAGUUGGAAACGGCUGCUAAUACCGGAUAGUGGGGGAUGACUCGCGGCCUAUCAGCUUGUUGGUGGGGUAGUGGCCUACCAAGGCGACGCCGGGUAGCCGGCCUGAGAGGGCGACCGGCCACAUUGGGCUGAGAUACGGCCCAAACGCCUACGGGGGGCAGCAGUGGGGAAUAUUGCACAAGGGUGGAAACCCUGAUGCAGCAGCGCCGGGUGCGGGAUGACGGCUUUCUGGUUGUAAACCGCUUUCAGCCAUGACGCGGUAGUGGCAGAAGAAGCACCGGCUAACUACGUGCCAGCAGCCGCGGUAAUAC
rnacentral:rRNA from 1 species